rnacentral:rRNA from 1 species
GACGGAGGGUGCAAGCGUUGUUCGGAAUUACUGGGCGUAAAGGGCGCGUAGGCGGUCUGUUAAGUUCGGUGUGAAAGCCCCCGGCUCACCUGGGGAACUGCGCCGGAACCGACAGACUCGAGUACCGGAGAGGAGGGUGGAAUUCCUGGUGUAGCGGUGAAAUGCGUAGAUAUCAGGAGGAACACCGGUGGCGAAGGCGGCCCUCCUGGACGGAUACUGACGCU